rnacentral:tRNA from 1 species
GCCCGGGUGGCGGAAUAGGUAGACGCAAGGGACUUAAAAUCCCUCGGAGGGCGACUUCCGUGCCGGUUCGAUUCCGGCCUCGGGCACCA